UGGGGAAUAUUGGGCAAUGGGCGCAAGCCUGACCCAGCAACGCCGCGUGAAGGAAGAAGGCUUUCGGGUUGUAAACUUCUUUUAACAGGGACGAAGUAAGUGACGGUACCUGUUGAAUAAGCCACGGCUAACUACGUGCCAGCAGCCGCGGUAAUACGUAGGUGGCAAGCGUUAUCCGGAUUUACUGGGUGUAAAGGGCGUGUAGGCGGGACUGCAAGUCAGAUGUGAAAACUAUGGGCUCAACCCAUAGCCUGCAUUUGAAACUGUAGUUCUUGAGUGUCGGAGAGGCAAUCGGAAUUCCGUGUGUAGCGGUGAAAUGCGUAGAUAUACGGAGGAACACCAGUGGCGAAGGCGGAUUGCUGGACGAUAACUGACGCUGAGGCGCGAAAGCGUGGGGAGCAAACA
rnacentral:rRNA from 1 species